UGCAGCUUAGGUCUGCUCCCUGCUGGUAAGUGGACAUCCCCCGAGGGCUGCCAGAGGGAGUUCUGUCUGCCAGCUUGGGCCUGAUCUCCCAGGGAGCAGGCCUAAGCCAGCAGGUGGACAUCC
rnacentral:snoRNA from 1 species